GUGACUAUCUUGUCGGGAUUUUGUCAUUGUCGUGAUUAUAUUUUGCUCUUUAUGACUAGAAAUUACCGGUAAAUACCCCCCCGACCGCGUCACGUUCCGUAUGCAUUCAUUUGUAUCAUUCGGGACAUAUUGUACUAUCAUGUCCCGGUCCAUGGGUGGAGGAUGAAGCUAAAAAAGCCCCGAGAGUUUCUUCUUAAAGCAGUUGUCAUAGAAAUCAAAGACGACAGACACACGGCAUUGCUAGAUCAUAAUUCAGUGCACAAUCUCGUUGAAAAAAAAAAAAUGAGUUUUGAGUCAAGUGAAGCAGAUUUGAGUGAAUUCUUCAAGGCCCCACCCUUUGCAGUUCAAGAUGGAGGUGGGGAGUUGCCCCUCCUCCACCUCCUCAGUCAUUUAUUUCCCCCUUUCAAGCUUGUCUUUUGCUGACCCCGCUCCCUCCUCAAGCCCCCCCCCACCCUCAUCUUUCAUCUUUCCAGGUGCCCCCCCCCCCUACAUACACUUGCUAAAGGCCAUUUUGAUUUGCGCAACGGCAAGAACCAGGAUUUACUUCCAGGAGUCUGCAAGGUGAUGGCUGACAGAGAUGAAUCUACUUUCUGCCGCUUCACACCUUCAGCAGAACGCUCCGUUCCGCAGUUUGAAGUCCAGCCCGGCCGACCUUUUGGGGCCGGGGAACCGUCUCGGGACUGCAGAAAUGGGGAGUUCCUCCGUGCGGCAAUCGCGCAGCCGUGGGUCGUGAGUCAAACCCAGCACGACCACGUUGUUGUCUGCUUCUCGUUUCAUGACCUCAUCGAGGCAGAAACCGACCUGUUUUGGUAUGCACACCUAUACGCAUGUGCGCAUAUUUCUGCAUUCCUGGCUCCAGAUGCGCAGCAUUAAGACCUGAAAGGGUCAUUUCCGUUUUCCCACCUGCUGACUUCCUGCCAGCUAACGUCAUCUCUUCCGAAAGUGAAUUCCAUCUAGCACUUGUAGGUAAUAAAAACUAACAGUGUCUCCCA